GCUUUGUAUGGCCACGGAUAUGCUCUCGAACACGUUUUUGUCCUGUAAUUCUCCACCCAACCCAUCCUUUUCGCCUUAUUUUUCACAAAGCAAUACAAAUUCGCCCAAAAUUUUCUGAAAAUCCUUGCAAACAGUGGCCUCUGAAACUCCUUCCACCACCAGUUCCUCCCUCCAGACCCUUCCCUUUUAUUUUCAGUCAUCCCGAGCUCAAUAUAGAUAUAUAUUGGAACUUAAGGGAGGUCUGAUCGUAGUCCAGGUGGGCAAUACUGAGGUAGUUUGAACGGAUUUACAGGUGAAGCUUUGUGUCAGUGGAAAUGGCGACCGGAGCUGUACCGGCUUCCUUUACGUGUCUGAAGAGCAGGGACCCAAGCUUAGGUUUCACGAGAAGUAUGGAUUUUGUGAGAAUUUCUGAUAUGAAAAGGGUUAAGACUGGUAGAAGAAAGGUCUUGGUGAUACGCAAUUCAAAUCCCGGCUCAGAUAUUGUUGAACUUCAGGCUGCAUCGGAGGGGAGCCCUCUCUUGGUUCCUCGUCAAAAGUAUUGUGAAUCCAUUCACAAAACUGUCAGGAGGAAAACACGGACAGUGAUGGUUGGAAACGUGGCUCUUGGUAGUGAGCAUCCCAUACGGAUUCAAACAAUGACCACAACCGACACUAAAGAUGUUGCUGCAACAGUUGAAGAGGUAAUGAGAAUAGCAGACAAAGGAGCAGAUAUUGUUCGGAUAACAGUCCAAGGGAAGAGAGAAGCAGAUGCAUGUUUUGAAAUAAAGAACUCUCUUGUGCAGAAAAAUUACAAUAUACCUCUGGUGGCAGAUAUUCAUUUUGCUCCAUCCGUUGCGCUGCGUGUUGCAGACUGCUUUGACAAGAUUCGUGUCAACCCUGGAAAUUUUGCUGAUAGGCGGGCUCAGUUUGAGAAGCUAGAGUACACAGAGGAGGACUAUCAGAAAGAAUUAGAGCAUAUCGAGCAGGUUUUUAUUCCAUUGGUUGAGAAAUGUAAGAAGUAUGGAAGAGCAAUGCGGAUUGGUACCAACCAUGGGAGUCUUUCAGAUCGUAUAAUGAGCUACUAUGGGGAUUCUCCUAGGGGAAUGGUUGAAUCUGCAUUUGAGUUUGCAAGGAUAUGCCGGAAGUUGGACUUCCAUAAUUUCGUCUUUUCAAUGAAAGCAAGCAACCCAGUUGUCAUGGUCCAGGCAUACCGUCUACUUGUUGCAGAAAUGUAUGUCCAUGGCUGGGAUUAUCCGUUACACUUGGGAGUUACUGAAGCUGGAGAAGGUGAGGAUGGGCGGAUGAAAUCUGCAAUUGGCAUUGGGACCCUUCUUCAGGAUGGUCUAGGCGAUACGAUCAGGGUGUCUCUGACAGAACCACCGGAGGAGGAAAUAGAUCCCUGCCGAAGAUUGGCCAAUCUUGGUAUGAGAGCAGCUGAACUUCAGCGAGGAGUGGCACCAUUUGAAGAAAAGAACAGGCAUUAUUUUGAUUUCCAGCGCCGAUCUGGUCAAUUGCCAAUGCAGAAAGAGGGUGAGGAGGUGGAUUAUAGAGGUGUCCUGCACCGUGACGGUUCUGUCCUUAUGUCAGUUUCCCUGGAUCAAUUGAAGAUGCCAGAGCUCCUAUACAAGUCACUUGCAGCAAAACUUGUUGUUGGCAUGCCAUUUAAGGAUCUGGCAACAGUGGACUCAAUCUUAUUGAGAGAGCUUCCACCAGUAGAUGAUGAUGAUGGGCGGCUAGCUCUCAAAAGGUUGAUAGAUAUAAGCAUGGGGAUUAUAACUCCCUUGUCAGAGCAGCUAACAAAGCCAUUGCCCAAUUCCAUGGUUUUGGUAAACCUGAAGGAAUUAUCAACUGGUGCUUACAAGCUUUUGCCAGAAGGCACACGUUUGGUUGUGUCUGUACGUGGUGAUGAGCCCUAUGAAGAGCUAGAAAUCCUCAAAGAUAUAGAUGCUACCAUGCUUCUUCAUGAACUACCUCUUACAGAAGAAAAAAUCAGCAGAGUGCAUGCAGCAAGGAGGCUAUUUGAGUACCUAGCAGACAGUUCUCUGGACUUCCCUGUAAUUCACCAUAUUCAGUUCCCAAAAGGAAUUCACAGGGAUGACUUGGUCAUUGGUGCCGGUACCAAUGCGGGAGCCCUUCUUGUAGAUGGGCUAGGAGAUGGAGUCCUAUUAGAAGCCCCAGAUCAGGAUUUUGAUUUUCUUCGGAAUACAUCUUUCAAUUUACUACAAGGCUGUAGAAUGCGGAAUACAAAGACGGAGUACGUGUCAUGCCCAUCAUGUGGCAGAACUUUGUUUGAUCUUCAAGAAAUAAGUGCACAAAUACGAGAGAAGACAUCACACUUGCCUGGUGUUUCAAUUGCAAUAAUGGGUUGCAUUGUAAAUGGUCCGGGGGAGAUGGCUGAUGCAGAUUUUGGAUAUGUUGGUGGUGCUCCCGGAAAGAUUGACCUUUAUGUUGGGAAGACGGUGGUGAAGCGCGGAAUUGCGAUGGAGCAUGCAACUGAUGCCUUGAUCCAGCUUAUAAAGGAUCAUGGCCGCUGGGUCGACCCUCCUGCAGAAGAGUAAGAGCACUAGCAUAGGGAGUUCCGGCUUGCCAAUAGGAGUUAAGAGACUCUCAAAGAGUGUCUCAAUCAUGUUGCAUAGGUCCACUCCUCCUAAGUAAGGGACAAUACAUGAUAAACAGCAGCACAGAAUGGAGAUCUGAACAACAUAAACGUUGAAAUUGUGGGCAUAUGGAAGAAAGAAAAUAAAGGAAAAGUAAGAGAAAAUAAAAGGAAACUCCAACCGAAUUAUCUUCUGGUUAUUCGAGGUGGUCAAAUCCUCCUUACGGACUUAGCAGUGUAUUUAACAUAUUUGAGUUGAUCUCUGGUUCCCGGCAGCUAUAAUUUGAGAUGAUGAUAAUGUAACCCUUGCCGUUU